rnacentral:rRNA from 1 species
GACGAACGCUGGCGGCGUGCUUAACACAUGCAAGUCGAACGGAAAGGCCCUGCUUUUGUGGGGUGCUCGAGUGGCGAACGGGUGAGUAACACGUGAGUAACCUGCCCUUGACUUUGGGAUAACUUCAGGCAACUGGGGCUAAUACCUGAUAGGAGCUCCUGCUGCAUGGUGGGGGUUGGAAAGUUUCGGCGGUUGGGGAUGGACUCGCGGCUUAUCAGAUUGUUGGUGGGGUAGUGGCUUAGCAAGGCUUUGACGGGUAGCCGGGCUGAGAGGGUGAGCUGACACACUAGGACUGAGAUACGGCCCAGACUCCUACGGGAGGCAGCAGAGGGGAGUAGUGCAUAGUGGGCGGAAGGCUGGUGCAGCAACGCAGCGUGCGGGAUGACGGGAAUCGGGUUGUAAACCGAUUUCGCCUGUGACGAAGCGUGAGUGACGGUAAUGGGUAAAGAAGCACCGGCUAACUACGUG